GUGGGGAAUAUUGCACAAUGGGCGAAAGCCUGAUGCAGCAACGCCGCGUGAGGGACGACGGCCUUCGGGUUGUAAACCUCUUUUAGUAGGGAAGAAGCGAAAGUGACGGUACCUGCAGAAAAAGCACCGGCUAACUACGUGCCAGCAGCCGCGGUAAUACGUAGGGUGCAAGCGUUAUCCGGAAUUAUUGGGCGUAAAGAGCUAGUAGGCGGUCUGUCGCGUCUGCUGUGAAAACUGGAGGCUCAACCUCCAGCCUGCAGUGGGUACGGGCAGACUAGAGUGCGGUAGGGGAGAUUGGAAUUCCUGGUGUAGCGGUGGAAUGCGCAUAUAUCAGGAGGAACACCGAUGGCGAAGGCAGAUCUCUGGGCCGUAACUGACGCUGAGGAGCGAAAGCGUGGGGAGCGAACAGGAUUAGAUACCCUAGUAGUCC
rnacentral:rRNA from 1 species